AGGAAAGAUGUACUUCAAUAAUCCCAAAGGAAAAUAAAUAUGCUUACUCUUGCUUUAUAAGAUAUUGUCUAUCCUAAAUCAAAAUUCAAUGCUUAAACACAAUAAAGAACCCAAAAGUAUAAUGUUGAUCCUAGAUAAGUCUCACACAAGUGCAAAUGCAUGUUCAUUUCUCCUAAUCUUUCACAUAAAAAUUUGGUUUGGUAGACAUAGAUAUGAUCACUAAUUAACUUGCAUGAAAGUGAACAAACCAGAAUUUCGAAAAAAAUUUCUUUCUCAAACAAACAUAACCAACACUAGCAUUCAGCAUAAUCAAAUAUCCACUCCCCCAAACUUAAUUUUCACAUUGUCCUCAAUGUGAAAGCAAAGAAAAAUGGAAGACUAAUACUCCCCUUUUAGCAAGGCUGAACACAAUGAAUGUCCGACUGAAUUGAACACGAACUAGCUUCUUGCUUGAUUUUUCUGCACCUACACAACACAACCAAAAAGAAAGGGGUCACAACAAUAAUUAUUCAAAGACUUAAAUAAAAACAACAAUUAAAACAUAUAACAAAAGACAAAAGAAAGGAUUUUUUUUUGUGUGGUUGGGUUGCCUCCCAAGAAGCGCUUGUUUAUAGUCAUUAGCUUGACUUCCACACCAUCAACCAUAGGUAGGAUUCUUCAAAGAGUAAAUCACUCCUUUAGGAACCACAUUACUAGCAAGAUAAGGCUUCAAACGCUGCCCAUUAACCUUGAAUGCACCAGUGACCUCACUACGCACCUCAACAGCACCAUAUGGAUACACUUUCGUUACCGUGAAUGGGCCAGACCACCUAGACGAAGCUUGCCUGAAAAUAACUUAAGUCUUGAGUUGAAGAGUAAUACUUGCUGCCCAAUUUCGAAGUUUCUAAUCUGAAGAUGUUU
rnacentral:lncRNA from 1 species